GAAUUGUUAGUUCAGUUGGUUCAGAGCAUUACCUUGACAGGGUAGGGGUCGCCGGUUCGAGUCCGGCACAGUUCA
rnacentral:tRNA from 1 species